UGAACAUCACCCUCUUGAUUUUCUUCAUUUUAAUGGGCUUUGAAAUGAUCAUCGGGAAGUGGAUCACAUCUCUAACUGCCAAGAUGCAAUUUGGUCAAAGAAGCUGUUUAGCUUUCAUCCUGUAAUCAGAGCUGGUGAUCUAAGAAACAUAAAGAUCUUGUAUUUGCUGGAUGUGCCAAGUAUAAGCAUGAGCCAAUGCAUCACUGUCUUUCUUGAAGAAAAACUUGUUGUUGGACAAUUAGAAUGUACUUGGAGGUAUUCUUGUUGCCAAGAUGCCAGAGAGGAUAUACUUGGGACUGCUCUGUCUAGAGUGCUGCAAGGUGUAAUAGGAAUACCUCACAAGGAGAAAAUUACCUUUGUUGGGAAGAUGACUUGAUGAAUUCAUCUGAAAUGGCCGUAUGCUGGGGUCA